rnacentral:rRNA from 1 species
GUGCACACACUGUAGGCCUGGAUACCUCUCGUCGCAAGGCGGAUGCGUGGCUUGCUGUCGCUUUCGAAAGAAGGCCGGCUUGCCAUAAAUUUCCAGGUCUAUGAUUUCUUACACACCCCAAACUGAAUGUUAUGGAAUGUCAUCUCAAGGCCUUGUGCCUAUAAACCUAUACAACUUUCAGCAACGGAUCUCUUGGCUCUCGCAUCGAUGAAGAACGCAGCGAAAUGCGAUAAGUAAUGUGAAUUGCAGAAUUCAGUGAAUCAUCGAAUCUUUGAACGCACCUUGCGCUCCUUGGUAUUCCGAGGAGCAUGCCUGUUUGAGUGUCAUUAAAUUCUCAACCUCACCAACUUUGUUGUGUGCAGGCUUGGAUGUGGGGGUUGCAGGUCCACUCUCGUGGUCUGCUCCUCUGAAAUGUAUUAGUGGGUUGUGCCCCUAAUCUAUUGGUGUGAUAAUUAUCUACGCCGUGGAUUGGGUUGGUUACUUGAAGACCUGCUUCUAACCGUCCCUUGGACAACUUUUGACAAUUUUGACCUCAAAUCAGGCAAGACUACCCGCUGAAC